GACGAACGCUGGCGGCGUGCUUAACACAUGCAAGUCGAACGGAAAGGCCCUGCUUUUGUGGGGAGCUCGAGUGGCGAACGGGUGAGUAACACGUGAGUAACCUGCCCUUGACUUUGGGAUAACUUCAGGAAACUGGGGCUAAUACCGGAUAGGAGCUCCUGCUGCAUGGUGGGGGUUGGAGAGUUUCGGCGGUUGGGGAUGGACUCGCGGCUUAUCAGCUUGUUGGUGGGGUAGUGGCUUACCAAGGCUUUGACGGGUAGCCGGCCUGAGAGGGUGACCGGCCACAUUGGGACUGAGAUACGGCCCAGACUCCUACGGGAGGCAGCAGUGGGGAAUAUUGCACAAUGGGCGGAAGCCUGAUGCAGCAACGCCGCGUGCGGGAUGACGGCCUUCGGGUUGUAAACCGCUUUCGCCUGUGACGAAGCGUGAGUGACGGUAAUGGGUAAAGAAGCACCGGCUAACUACGUG
rnacentral:rRNA from 1 species